UUAAGAACUUCAUUUAUUUUUCAGAAACAGUGCAAAUCGUACUGCAACACUCGGGGCAGCAUCGGCUACCCUGGGUGUCAGUGAUCUGAAAAUAAAGGUAAUAGUUAUUUGAUACCAUUGUAGUUAUCUUCUGUCUAUUCAUAACUAAUCAUUCUGUCCUUUAUUGCAACAUUUUCAGGAAGUGAAGGAUACAAGCUGGCUCUUUCAGCACAGGGUCAUCGAGACCCUACUGAGGAACUUGAGUGCAUUCCUUGGAGCCUUGGCAGAGGAGGCAGAGAUGAGAAGAUGUCCAGUGGCAAAGGGACCCUACACAUUCUGUGCUACAUACAGAUAAAGCGGCAGCAGUUUACCUCCAGGCUGAUGUUUUGCCCCACCUCGCAUGUCUGUCCAAAAUCUUUCAAAAAGCAAAUGUCAACUUUUUACAAAUCAAGGAGCAGGUUCCUGUCACAAUUCAGUCUCUGGCUGGACAGACUCCACUCCCUGGAUCAUGCCUGCCUCGCCUCCAUCAGGACCUCGAUGAUCCCCAAGGACUCGGAGCCAGCACGAGGAGGAGAGGAAUAGGAGAGGGCGAGAUGUCAUGAAGCGCUGAGGGAGGAGCAGUGAGCCAGAACCCAGCGAGAGGUCAUCCACCCUUACAUAACUGGCCUGGAAACACACCUGGAGAGGAGGUUUCAUGAUCUGGACAUUCUUGGGGCCUUCAGUAUCUUGGGACCCGCACCGCAAUCAACCACUCUACAAGAUGAUACAAUCAACAUCUCUCAUCUGCGGACUCUUGCCAGGAAAUGUUGCCCUGAACAUGAGAAUGAGGUCCUGCAGGAGUGGUCCUCGUUCAAAAAUCAUGUCCUUCCUGGGGCAUUCACGGUGGGUCAAUUAAGCUGAUUCUGACUACA